rnacentral:tRNA from 1 species
GGGUUUAGGGUUUAGGGUUAGUAUAAUUGCCUUCCAAGCAAUAGAUCCGGGUUCGACUCCCGGCUGACGCA